UCAUGGUUGACCAACAGCCCCAAACAUCUAAAUAAGCUACCAGCCAAACAAGCUUGGAAGAAUUCUACCUAAACUCCCCCCUCACACUCAUCUCGAGAUUGAGAAUUUUUUUUCACCUCGAUCUCUGUAAUGUGUCUGUAUCUCUGUAAUGUGUCUUGUAUCUAUGUAAUCGUUUAUGUGUUCAUGCAAAACAUAGGGACCACAAUGUAAGGGAUCUCGUCCUCGUCCUCCUCUGAGGAGAAGCGAGAAGGAUCGGAGGACCAAAACGCAGCGUGAUCAAACUUGAACUUCCUCCUUGUCAACUGACACCUCAACUACCCAUCUUGAGGAAGAACAGAAGAGGAAAGGGGAAGUGGGAAAGGCAACAAAUGAAUAGAUGGUGUGAACUUGUCAUAUCCUUUACCUCACUUGUAGCUGUCACAAUUAGAUGCGCUGCGGUUUCAACAACUUGAGUGGGGGUCACUUUCCUUAAGCUAGAAGUGAAAACCACUCUAGAUAGCACCAUGCAAGAUUACAUUACCUUAACAAAUAACAAUAGCUUUUGCUCUCAUUCUAUAGUAUGCGGGCAAUGUAUGUCUAUGUGGACAAAUUGUUGCAGCUAUUCAUCUGUCUGUAUUGGUGACCUGUUCAAAGGUUGUGUUUUCCCUACAGAUGGAUUAGGGCUAUGUACGUACAUGCAUAGAUAACUGAUCUCAGGACAGGUUUAUCUGGAAGUGUUAGCCUUUAGCACUGUUUCUUCACUGCUGAUUGCAUUGACAGUGAGAAGAUAGCAUAUCCAAUCCAUAGGCGUAGCCUGAUUUGUAUUAGUAGGCUAUUCCCAGCCACCUCUCAUUUAGAGUAAAUGGCAAACUGAAAAGCAUAUGAACUUGGUAGCAUAUAGGGUUACAAAGCUACUGGUAAAUUUACCAAAGUUACCGUAAUAUUCAGUAAUUUGAGUAAUUAACAGAAAAUGAUGGCAAUCCAGCAUAACUUUAUUAUAUCUGUGUGUACAUAUUGUCCAUGAGUUUCUGGUUGAUAGAGCAUUUGGUUCAAGUGAAAAUAGCCUAAAUAAUGGAAAAAUAAUCUAAUUAACAAGGGCUUCAUUUUCAAUUAACUCUGCAACUCUUCCAACUAUUGACUUUUUUUCACAACUGCCACCAGUUUGAUGCCAAAGCAUUGACACCUACAUAUUGACAUAGUAAAAUAAAUGUUUGUAAACAUUUUUUAUGUAUAAUAAAAAAGGGUGUUUCAUGCUGAAACUCUCAUAUUGAUCACCAAUGGUAUUCAAGUUGAUUGUUUAGAUUUAGCAUAAUGUUUUACAGCUUUGCCAUUCUUUUUAACAUUUUAAAAUCACCUCAUUCAAUUAUUUCACAUAUUUUACAUGCAAUAAGGCCGCACAGAGGGCCAGAGAUUAUUACAGACACGUGGAAAUCUGAAAAUCUCAAAAGGGCCACUAGAUAUCUUUUGAUAGAUUACAUAAAAUCCUUGAAAGAUAAAGAAAUUCUAACGUUUCCAGUAAUAUACCCAACCUUUUUAACUCUAGUAGCACGUCUGCGUUCAGGUUUGGUUUUUGACCCCUUCCUUAUUCUUGGAGAAGGCAUUUCAGAUGAUCCCAUCAGAAAUGUGCAGUGUAUAGACUUUUGAAGGCCUUACUGGAUUGAGGAAAAGUAGGCUAUUGAAGUAGUGAGGUUGACUUAACACUAUAAACCUCACAUUUCAAAUACAAGGUUUAAGGAAGUGUUUGCAAUGCUCUUCGUGUCCAUCCUGUGUCCAUAUAUUAAAAACUUCUCAAUAAAACCUCGUCAGCUAUCCUUACAUGAAGGGACAAAUUGCAAAAGGAGAUUUCUGGAGUUCACUUGUAAUACAAGGCCUUUCUGAUGCAAUCCGGUCACAUCUGACAUCAUAAAAAUGGAUACCCAUUUGGGGAUAAGAAUGGCAAGUAUUGGUGCACACUCAAGUGUAUACAGAGCAGAGGAAAGACGGGUAACCGUGGCAACCUUGCCAGUGAGUAAACACAAGGGUGAGCACAGGGCGUCCGUAGAGAGGAAUGUCAAAUAUGCACAGGCACUUGACCACACAGCUAGGUUACAGCUCAGCUCCCUAUCUAAUGGUCAACACACCAACUUCAGUAUAUCCACAUGGCUAGUUAUGAAACUGAGCUCAAUACAUGCAGGAUGAGGACUAAGUUGUUGUUUUGGGUCAAAUGCCUUCAGUGACUGACAGUAUUUUGGGGCCAAAUACAGUAUCACCCAUUUGUGUUGACAUAGCAGCCAUCUAUAGAUAGAUAUAGACUGGUUUCUCACAGCGAGAAAACGAGGGUAUAGACUGGUUUCUAUUUUUGUAUUGUUUAAGCACAAAAUACAGUUUGAUAAUAUGAUAAGUUAUGUGUUGUGUGUAUCUUUGCAUAAACCAUGCAUUCUGCCCUCAUGCCUCAUUGAAUCAAACUUGCAGCAAGCUGUAAAACAGACAAAAAGACCAUUAAAUGCAAGGAAUUACAUUUCUUUAUCAUUUUCAUUUAUUUCUCCUGUUCAGGCGAUCAAAAAAUAAAUUCGUACUUUUCUUCUUAAUAAUUCACACAUCGUUUUCACAGACCCUGACAUGUUCUUGAUAAAUAAGUACAAAAUGCAUUGGUAUUAACACAAUAAAUAUCAUAAUAAAUAUAUUAGUUAAGUCUAUACAAUUACAAAAAGGCAAAUAAGUCAACCUAUAGUCUAUGGAAAUACUGUGAUGUUACAGUCCCUGAUGAAAUUAGAAGUCACCUACUACAGUUGAGUAAGACCCAACCAGGGUUGUCAAAACAUUAUGCAACAAAACAGGUCUCUAAAUAAAUGGCAAGGCUACACAAAUACCCCCUCCUAGAUCUGUGACAUGCACAGACGGCGUACUAGCACCUUCUCACUUUUGUCACAGAUGUGUUAAAAUAUAAUGGACCCCCCCCAAAAAAAAUGGAAAAACUGCUCUUACACAAAUAAUGUAGCAAAUGUAGAAAAGUAAGUAUAAAGCUUUGGUUAAAUGCUACAUAGAGAGACUAGGCUCCCAAUACCUAUUUUAAAGUGCAUAUCACAGUGAGAGAAUGUCUUGUCAUUUUUCAAGUCACAUUGAUGGUUUGAAUAUUUUCAACAGUUUUUUUGGUAUACACAUUAAUACCAACAGUAUGAACAGAUCUGACAAAUAGUUCUGGCAGCUUACUAAAUGGAGGGGAGUCUUUUGUUUCAUAUGAUCAUAUAUUUGAAGGACUAAUCGAAGUAAUCCAGCUAAAGUAAGGCCCUUCUCAUAAUGAUUGAGACAGGUAAAGGCACUUAAAACGUCUGUUACUAUCAUAACCAUCAAGGUCAUUU